UACGUAGGGUGCAAGCGUUAAUCGGAAUUACUGGGCGUAAAGCGUGCGCAGGCGGCUAUGCAAGACAGAUGUGAAAUCCCCGGGCUCAACCUGGGAACUGCAUUUGUGACUGUAGAGCUGGAGUGCGGCAGAGGGGGAUGGAAUUCCGCGUGUAGCAGUGAAAUGCGUAGAUAUGCGGAGGAACACCGAUGGCGAAGGCAAUCCCCUGGGCCUGCACUGACGCUCAUGCACGAAAGCGUGGGGAGCAAACAGG
rnacentral:rRNA from 1 species